GAGUUUGAUCUUGGCUCAGAUUGAACGCUGGCGGCAUGCCUUACACAUGCAAGUCGAACGGCAGCACGGGAGCUUGCUCCUGGUGGCGAGUGGCGAACGGGUGAGUAAUGCAUCGGAACGUAUCCUGGAGUGGGGGAUAACGUAGCGAAAGUUACGCUAAUACCGCAUAUUCUGUGAGCAGGAAAGCGGGGGACCUUCGGGCCUCGCGCUCUUGGAGCGGCCGAUGUCGGAUUAGCUAGUUGGUGAGGUAGAGGCUCACCAAGGCGACGAUCCGUAGCAGGUCUGAGAGGAUGAUCUGCCACACUGGAACUGAGACACGGUCCAGACUCCUACGGGAGGCAGCAGUGGGGAAUUUUGGACAAUGGGGCAACCCUGAUCCAGCCAUGCCGCGUGAGUGAAGAAGGCC
rnacentral:rRNA from 1 species